AUUGCAGGACACAUUGAGCGCUGAUUAUUCGAACGCACAUUGCGGCCUCGGGUUCCACCCGGGGCCUCGCCUGUCUGAGGGUCG
rnacentral:rRNA from 4 species